GUUUUUGCGCAGCGCCCUCAUUCUGCCAACCAAUCGACAAGGAGCACCACCCACCGAGAGACUGUUCGUUGGGUAAAGUGGCCGUCAAGUAGUUACGUCACACGUCAGCCAGGCGGGGCGGGGCAGAACUCUCGCUUUGGCUGCCCGAGUGAGUGUGAGUGUGAGAGCAAGAACAGCCCGCAGGUCCCGAGGCGCUUGCUGGGGACUCUGCCGCGGAAAGUUCCCAGUCCCCAGCCGCAGCUACCCUGGAAAGCAGGAAGAGAACCGGAAGUAAGGCAAACUAAAGCAAGCCAAAUCCCUCAAAAUAUGGGAAAUGUAUCAAGCAAAAUCUAUGAGUGUUUCUGAUGAGAGACACUGAGUGAAGAAAAGUGCUGUCUUGGGGAUCAAUGCUGGAUGGCCCUUCUCACUGCAGCUACAGACCUUGGAGACAGAGGAAGAUGCAGCAAGGGGUACUGAUGCCUCAUAAGGUUGAACAGUCUCCUUUUUUUGUUAUGUUCAGAUGCCUUCGUGAAACUGGUUUUACCUGAGAAAGAGGAGCUGUCAUUCAGCGAGUCGUAGGUGGCAGUGUGCAUGGCAGAGUCCCAUGUGUUACACCACGAGGACAUUCACAUUUUCCCACUUGGUGAGGUCCUUCUACCUAAUCCUCAUUCCUUGUGCACAGAAGAGGACUGGAAAAUUCUCCUCAUAGAACUGCAUACUGUUAUCUCUGAGAAGUGUUUUCCAAAAAGUGCUUUAUAAAAACAGCCAGGCAGUUCAGCAUUGUGGAUAAGCUUUUAUAACUUACUUACACCCUGAAGAUUUCAGAGUUCACAACUUUCAGGAUCUAAGGAAUGGUGACCAUCAUAAGCCUGUUUGUGCUUCUAAAAGGAACACUGACACCUAGGAGUCCUAACUUUGAGAGUUCCAAGGCAAACAACUUGUAGAGAUCCAGAUUUCAUCUUUCAACUGAAUUGUUUAUUAUAGAUCUGCCACCUUUUGCUUUUUCUAUCAACAGAAAUAAGUCAGUUAUCAUCGACAAGGUGAAGAACUACAAAGUUUGGCCUUUGGCGUUAAAAUGAAGAAAGCUGUGUUCAUGUAUACAUAUCUAGACUUCAUUAACUUGCUCCUAUUUCCAUUUUGUUACCUCCCUGAGACAAAACAAGUAUGAAACUUGUUUUCAAAAUUACAAUUUUGCAUUAUUGUUCAUUUGAAAUGACCUAGUUCAUAAUUACUAAAACAUUUGAGCUUUUGAAAGCAUUUAAAUUCCUCAUAAAAGCUAUAGAUGAAAUAAGAGAAAAUGUCCUUAAGGUGAUUCCUCUUGAGGUCCAGCAUGAAUAAUUCCGGAAGGAUUUGCACUUGUACUGUGACCACUAAGAUCUGCUGCAGUUUCCCUGCUCUGAGGGGCUAAUGUAUCAGACACACUAAUUGGAGAAACCAGGAGAGAAGAUGACACCUAUACCUCCAUUAGUUUUUUUUCCUGUUUCUGUAAUUUUGAUGUUUUGUUAUUUUCUAUCUUUGUGCUCAAACACUGAUUGAUUAUUUAAACCAAAGACAAGCCAAAGAGUUGGGCAGUUUUCCAGGCAAUAUAUUUUCCAUUUCUUAUUUCUGAAAGCUGACUGUAGCUCAUGUUGUAUAAGAAAAGUCAUGUCUUGCCAUUCUGAAAUAUUUUCUGAUAUUUACCUUGAAUUGUCAAUAGCUUCGUUUACCCUAUAUGAACAUCACUGUACUGGCCUGAUUUUAAAUAGAAAAUGCAAUCCAAUCUUUAAUUUAAUGAUCAUUAUGUCGACUGUACUAAAUAAAUACAAAUUACAGAAAUCAAGAUUAUUGUUUUCUGCUUGAAAUGUUAAUGACUAAUUCUGACUGUUUUGCAUGGCUUGAUUACUAAGUGUUUGGUGUAAAUAUACAUUCACAUAUAUUUCUGACUUUUAGAGUAAAAAUGAACCAUAGACAAUGUGGAAAAUUCUGUUAACCAGGAUAUUUACAAUAAAGUGCCAUGACCUCA